CCUACGGGAGGCAGCAGUGGGGAAUAUUGGACAAUGGGCGAAAGCCUGAUCCAGCCAUGCCGCGUGUGUGAAGAAGGCCUUCGGGUUGUAAAGCACUUUCAGUGGGGAAGAAAGCCUUGGGGCUAAUACCCUCGAGGAAGGACAUCACCCACAGAAGAAGCACCGGCUAACUCCGUGGCCAGCAGCCGCGGUAAUACGGAGGGUGCGAGCGUUAAUCGGAAUUACUGGGCGUAAAGCGCGCGUAGGCGGUCUGAUAAGCCGGUUGUGAAAGCCCCGGGCUCAACCUGGGAACGGCAUCCGGAACUGUCAGGCUAGAGUGCAGGAGAGGAAGGUAGAAUUCCCGGUGUAGCGGUGAAAUGCGUAGAGAUAGGGAGGAAUACCAGUGGCGAAGGCGGCCUUCUGGACUGACACUGACGCUGAGGUGCGAAAGCGUGGGUAGCAAACAGGAUUAGAUACCCUAGUAGUC
rnacentral:rRNA from 1 species